rnacentral:miRNA from 1 species
UGAAGUGUUUGGGGGAACUCU